rnacentral:rRNA from 1 species
GUUGAACGCUGGCGGCAUGCUUUACACAUGCAAGUCGAACGGUAACAGGGUGCUUGCACCGCUGACGAGUGGCGAACGGGUGAGUAAUGCGUCGGAACGUGCCGAGUAGUGGGGGAUAACGCAGCGAAAGUUGUGCUAAUACCGCAUACGUACUGAGGUAGAAAGUGGGGGACCUUCGGGCCUCACGCUAUUCGAGCGGCCGACGUCUGAUUAGCUAGUAGGUGAGGUAAAGGAUCACCUAGGCGACGAUCAGUAGCGGGUCUGAGAGGAUGAUCCGCCACACUGGGACUGAGACACGGCCCAGACCCCUACGGGAGGCAGCAGUGGGGAAUUUUGGACAAUGGGCGAAAGCCUGAUCCAGCCAUGCCGCGUGUCUGAAGAAGGCCUUCGGGUUGUAAAGGACUUUUGUCAGGGAGGAAAUCCCUAGUGCUAAUAACACUGGGGGAUGACAGUACCUGAAGAAUAAGCACCGGCUAACUACGUGCCAGCCGCCGCCGUAA